UACGGAGGGCGCAAGCGUUGUUCGGAAUUACUGGGCGUAAAGCGCGUGUAGGCGGCCAGGUAAGUCGGAUGUGAAAGCCCGGGGCCCAACCCCGGAACUGCACCCGAUACUGCCUGGCUGGAGUCCCGGAGAGGAUGGCGGAAUUUCCGGUGUAGAGGUGAAAUUCGUAGAUAUCGGAAGGAACGCCAGUGGCGAAGGAAGCCAUCUGGACGGUGACUGACGCUGAGACGCGAAAGCGUGGGGAGCAAACAGG
rnacentral:rRNA from 1 species